GAUCUACCGGAUUAUCUAAUACCAAGACUAAAGAUGCGAUUCAAAGAUGUAGAGAAAGCAAGGGAAUUUUAUAACAGAUACGCCAGGCACGCUGGUUUUGGAAUCAGGAAGACGGGUGGAAAUGACAGCCAUAAGUAUUUUGUUUGCGCCUUCCAAGGGAUACACACAUCUUCUGUUUCAAAGGCCAACAGGAAGCGAAACAAAACAUCGCAGAGGAUGGGCUGCAAUGCAAGAAUGAGGGUGAAGGUGCAGGAGGAUGGCACAUGCGUGGCAGUGGACAUUGAGUACAAUCAUAAUCACCAGCUCAUGCAAACUGAUGACAUGCUGGUAUUCUUGUAGUCACACAAGAAUUAUGACCCCACUAUUCUGGAGUAUGUAAAGCUCCUGCCGUACCAUGAUGUCAAGCACACAACAAUCAUGUCCAUGCUAUCUGAAAAUGAAGAUGGAAGCUACUUCCUAAGCAUGACCGGACGAGACCUCCUAAACCAGAAAGCCAUGAAUGCAAGGAAAGAUGAUUUGGAUGAUGUAUUAAAACUUGUUUCAUUCUUCAAAGACAUGAAGGCAAUAAAUGAUGAGUUUUUCUAUGACAUCCAAGUGGACAAGGACAAGUCAAUUAAAAACAUUUUCUAGUCCAAUGCAAGCUGCCGAGGAGCCUAUCAAGACUUCGGCGAUUGCGUAACAUUUGACACGACUUACAAGACAAACAGAUUUCAUAUGCCCCUGGGAGUGUUUGUUGGAACAAACCAUCACUUGCAGUCAAUGAUAUUUGCCGUUGCCCUGAUAAGAGACGAAGAUGCAAAGUCAUUCAAGUGGCUGUUCGAUACAUUUCUAUGGUGCAUGAACAACAAGCACCCAACUUGCAUUCUAACAGACCAGUGCCCAUUGAUGGUGAAAGCUAUACCACAAUCAUUUCCAAACACCGUCCACAAGCUAUGCCAUUGGCACAUAUUGAAGAAGUACAGGGAAUACCUUGCGUUGCUGUACAAAAAGUAUAAAACAUUCAAAGAGGAGUUCACAGCUAUAUUGAACUGGCCGCUGAUGCCAACAGAGUUUGAAGAUGCCUGGGCUGAACUCGUGCACAAGUACCACCUGGAGAACGACCAGAUGAUGAUGCAGCUCUAG
rnacentral:rRNA from 1 species